UACGAAGGGGGCUAGCGUUGUUCGGAAUUACUGGGCGUAAAGCGCGCGCAGGCGGUUUCUCAAGUCAGUGGUGAAAGCCCGGAGCUCAACUCCGGAACUGCCAUUGAAACUGUGAGACUUGAGGACGAGAGAGGUGAGUGGAAUUCCCAGUGUAGAGGUGAAAUUCGUAGAUAUUGGGAAGAACACCGGUGGCGAAGGCGGCUCACUGGCUCGCUUCUGACGCUCAGGCGCGACAGCGUGGGGAUCAAACAGG
rnacentral:rRNA from 1 species